UUGGUCAAUUCAUAAUCCUUUGUUCUGUAUGGCUCGGACUGAUAUUAAAAAAUAAAAAAAAAGUUCGAGCCAUACAGAACAAAGGAUUAUGAAUUGACCAAUA
rnacentral:miRNA from 1 species